CACACUGUAACUGAUCAUAGACUUAUCUGCACCUCACGCCUCGGCUACCCCAAGUCUCAACUCCCUCCGAGGAGUUUUUAUUACAGUAUGCCACCAUUGUUCAUACCAUUACAGUUAUCACUCGAGCAGGGGGGAAGCCUGGUUAAGUAAAACUGAUAUCACAAACGCCUUUCAGACUGCCACCAUCCACCCUACACUGGCACUUACAGGGCAUUUAUGGGCAGCAGCUAUAUAUUUCUUCUCCCGCUUAACUUUCAGGUCAAG